GUCUCUGUGGCGCAACGGGUCAGUGCAUCUGGCUGUUAAGCAGAAGGUUGGUGGUUCAAGCCCACCCAGGGACG
rnacentral:tRNA from 1 species